AGCAGCCGCGGUAAUUCCAGCUCCAAUAGCGUAUAUUAAAGUUGUUGCAGUUAAAAAGCUCGUAGUUGAAUUUCGGGAUCAGUACGCUGGUCGUGCCUUUGGUAUGUACUGGUGUCACUGAUUCCUCCCUUCUGAAGAACCGUUAUGCCAUUUAUUUGGUGUGGCGGGGAAUCAGGACUGUUACUUUGAAAAAAUUAGAGUGUUUAAAGCAGGCUCGCGCUUGAAUACAUCAGCAUGGAAUAAUGAAAUAGGACGUUUGAUCUUAUUUUGUUGGUUUCUAGGAUCGACGUAAUGAUUAAUAGGGAUAGUUGGGGGCAUUAGUAUUCAAUUGUCAGAGGUGAAAUUCUUGGAUUUAUUGAAGACUAACUACUGCGAAAGCAUUUGCCAAGGAUGUUUUCAUUAAUCAAGAACGAAAGUUAGGGGAUCGAAGACGAUCAGAUACCGUCGUAGUCUUAACCAUAAACUAUGCCGACUAGGGAUCGGAUGAUGUUAUUUUUAAUGA
rnacentral:rRNA from 1 species